rnacentral:rRNA from 1 species
AUUGAACGCUGGCGGCAGGCCUAACACAUGCAAGUCGAGCGAGCGGCGGACGGGUGAGUAAUGUAUGGGGACUGCCCGAUAGAGGGGGAUAACUACUGGAAACGGUGGCUAAUACCGCAUACUAUCGGAUAACCCAUAUGGGAUUUGCUAGUAGUGGGGGUAAAGGCCCACCAAGGCGACGAUCUCUAGCUGGUCUGAGAGGAUGAUCAGGAACACUGGGACUGAGACACGGCCCAGACUCAUACGGAGGCAGCAGUGGGGAAUAUGGGACAAUGGGAGCAAGCCUGAUGCAGCCAGGCCGCGUGUAUGAAGAAGGCCUUAGGGUUGUAAAGUACUUUCAGCGGGGAGGCGUUACCCGCAGAAGAAGCACCGGCUAACUCCGUGCCAGCAGCCGCGGUAAUAC